CCUACGGGGUGCAGCAGUGAGGAAUAUUGGUCAAUGGACGAGAGUCUGAACCAGCCAAGUAGCGUGAAGGAUGACUGCCCUAUGGGUUGUAAACUUCUUUUAUAUGGGAAUAAAAUGUUCCACGUGUGGGAUUUUGUAUGUACCAUAUGAAUAAGGAUCGGCUAACUCCGUGCCAGCAGCCGCGGUAAUACGGAGGAUCCGAGCGUUAUCCGGAUUUAUUGGGUUUAAAGGGAGCGUAGGUGGAUUGUUAAGUCAGUUGUGAAAGUUUGCGGCUCAACCGUAAAAUUGCAGUUGAAACUGGCAGUCUUGAGUACAGUAGAGGUGGGCGGAAUUCGUGGUGUAGCGGUGAAAGGCUUAGAUAUCACGAAGAACUCCGAUUGCGAAGGCAGCUCACUGGACUGCAACUGACACUGAGGCUCGAAAGUGUGGGUAUCAAACAGGAUUAGAUACCCGAGUAGUC
rnacentral:rRNA from 1 species